UAAUUAAAUCUAAACUCAUUCUAUCUAUAGAGAGAAAAUAGAAAAACUUGCAGAUAAUCCUUACGCUUCCAGCUUCUCCGGUGGUGGCGAGUUUGCUCUUUCUUUUUGCCUCUCUUUCAUGAAUCGAUAUAUAUUUUCCUUGGGUUUGAGUUUGCAGUGGGUCCACUUCUAAAAUGUUAGAUCUGGUGAAAAAUGAGAUUUGAUGUAGGAGAGAGUAAAGAAGGCUAACGAAGCGGGUUUUCUUUUCCAAUCUAUUCUCGGAAUGGGACUGUACUCCUUCGCCAGCCUCAUCCCGUCCUCCACCGUCACCUUGUACUUCGGCAACUCGUCCUCCGUGAAAAUCCCUAAUGCGACGUAAUCCAAUCCCACGAUCCCGAUCCUGAUCGGCUCGUCGGUGACUAUAGCCACCAGAUCUUGUUGUUCUGCACAGUAUUUCAAAAAUGGUAUCGAAGAGAUGGCUUCAGAACCUUACAAUGGCCUUCAGAACCUAUGAGCUUGAAAAGGUCCCAACAGGCUAAGAACUCUCAGACUGGGUUCUUCCAGAGAACGGCCUUAUUCUACGAUCUAUAGUAGGCAUAAAGGUCCGUAUGGUUACUGGUGAAAACGUCCAAACUGCCAGGGCUAUUGCUUUGGAGUGUGGAAUAUUGACUUCAGAUGCUGAUGCAGGGAGAGCUGUGUGAUGUUGAACAAAGGCAACUUAUUAUAAGCUUGUAUAAAUAUUUUAUAAGCCCUUAUAAAA